UAGUAAAUUUCAAUAAGUUUUUGAAAUUGAAAAUUAGAAAUCUACUUCUAAAACUUAAAAAAUUUAAAUUCUAUAGUAAAAAGUACCGCGAGGGAAAGGUGAAAAGAUUUUUAAUAUCUUAAAAGAACCUAAAAUUUAAUGCUAAAUACAGUUAAGGCUUUAUGUUUUAACGUACCUUUUGCAUAAUGGGCUAGCGAGUUUAUAUAAUUAGCGAGUAAUUUAUAAUAAAAUAAUAUU
rnacentral:rRNA from 1 species